rnacentral:rRNA from 1 species
AUGCCGAAGAUCGGCGAGAAGCAGUCCACGUCGAAGAAGGCGGACGAUCCUGACGCAGAUACGAGCGAUGGUGCGCUCGUCCUCAGGGCUCCGUCGUGCGGUGGGGUGCCGGUGCACUAUCCGCAGCUCACCGAGACCAACUACGGCGUGUGGGCUGUCAAGAUGCGCGUCAUUAUGCGCACCCUCGGCUGCUGGUCAGCGGUCGACGGGAAAUCGGACUUCAACCAGGACAGGGACGAGGACGCGUUCGCCGCGCUCUCACAGUCUCUCCCUGACGCCAUGGUCAUGGCCAUUGCGGAGUACGAGACCGCAGCGGAGGCGUGGGAUGCCAUCCGACAGAUGCUUGUCGGCGAGGAUCGCGUCAAGAAGGCGCGAGUCAAGCAGCUCAAGCGCCAAUUGGAUCGGAUGCAGAUGGACGACGGCGAGACCAUCGCCGCGUUCGGUCAGAAGCUCACCACUCUCGUCGCCGAGAUACGCUCGCUAGGUGAGAAAAUCGGUGAUGAAUCUGUCAUUGAGGUGUUGUUCAAUGCCGUUCCCGACAGGUUCGCAGAUGUUGUCAAUACCAUCGAGCAGUGGGGGGAUUUGUCCACCAUGCCAGUGUCUGAAGCCUUGGGCAGGUUGGCGGCAUAUGAGAAUGGCCAGAGAGGUCGCCGUCGCAGUGGCGGCGGAAAAGGGGAUGAGCAACUCAUGCUUGUCACCCGGGCACUGGAGCAACUCAUGAAAGUGAAGAAGAGUGGUGACGGCGCCGGAGGCUCAGGAAGUUCUGCUGGAAAGAAAAACUCCGAUCGCCAAGACCACAGCAAGUCUGGCAAGAGUGGUGAAAAGCAAAAAAAGAAGGGCAAAUUCUACAUCAAGAAAGUCAGAUGUUACAAUUGUAAUGAAAAAGGUCAUUUUCAGUCAGACUACCCAGGACCGAAGCGAGAGAAAGCAAACCUCGCUCAAAAGGAGGAGGAGGAGGAUGACCCAGCACUACUGCUGAUGGAGUCGUGUGAGCUGGUGGUGUCUGAAUCUGAAACUGAGGAACAAGUAUUUCUCAAUGAGGAAAAGGUGGUGCCAAAGCUCACUGGAGAACAUGAGAUGUCUUGGUACCUAGACACCGGGGCAAGCAAUCAUAUGACAGGUAGAUCAGACAAGUUUGCCCAACUGGAUCGAACAGUGAAAGGAAGAGUUCGAUUUGGCGAUGGUUCAGCUGUUGAGAUCUGUGGACGCGGCUUUGUUUUAAUGCAGUGUCACACAGGCGAACACCGGGUGCUGGCUGAUGUGUAUUACAUACCCAGACUGAAGAAUAAUAUUAUCAGUUUGGGUCAGCUAGAUGAGAAUGGUUGCAAGUACUCAGCUGAGGAUGGCGUGAUGACGGUGCUCGAUCGUGAAAGGAAGGUCUUGGCUCGAGUGAAGAGAACCAGGAACCGGAUGUAUAUCCUGAAUAUUCAGAAAACUGAACCUGUUUGCCUGCUGGCUCACGCGAAGGAAACAUCCUGGCUGUGGCACAUGAGAUACGGGCAUGUCAACUUCCGUUCUCUCAAGACACUUGCAACAGAAGGCAUGGUUGAAGGAAUGCCAACCUUGGAGCAAGUUGAGCAGGUGUGUGAUGGCUGUAUGGUUGCAAAACAGCGUCGCCUUCCUUUUCCUUCUCAGACAGGCUACCGUGCAACUCAACAGCUGCAGCUUGUUCAUGGUGAUCUAUGUGGGCCUAUCGAACCAGCUACACCCGGAGGGAAGUGA